rnacentral:snoRNA from 1 species
UAACGAUAGUGUGGACAUUACAACAAAAGUGAUUUGAAGCAAUCACGUGCUUCAUAAAAAGAUAUAGUAUCCUUUUGAUAAAAAUUAGAAAUUUCAGCUCUUAAUUC